AUCAAGGCCACCCACUGGAACCAUGGGCCCUCAGAGUCUGCAAGGGCAGCACUCCAACUCUGUGGCAUAACCUCGAAGCCAUAUGCUCACGACAAGCAGCAGCACUUCUGGGAACAGGCUGCAGAGACAACUUGAGUUCUUCCUUAAUUUCUCUCAACUCCAGUGACCCUUCAUGAGAAGAACAUGUCUGCGGUAGCCACUGGUCCAAGGAGAAUGAGGAAAUAUGUAGAGCAGCUUUGAACCUAAUCAGCAGUCUGAAGUCAAGCCCAGUGGAUUCCAGCC
rnacentral:lncRNA from 1 species